rnacentral:rRNA from 1 species
CGCAAACCGACACUGGUGCGCGAGAUGAGUAUUCUCAGGCGCUUGAGAGAACUCUGGAGAAGGAACUCGGCAAAUUGACACCGUAACUUCGGAAGAAGGUGUGCCUUUAGUAGGUGAAGUUGUACAAAUGGAGCCGAAUGAGGCCGCAGAGAAUCGGUGGCUGCGACUGUUUAAUAAAAACACAGCACUCUGCAAAGACGAAAGUCGACGUAUAGGGUGUGACGCCUGCCCGGUGCUGGAAGAUUAAAUGAUGGGGUGCAAGCUCUUGACUGAAGUCCCAGUAAACGGCGGCCGUAACUAUAACGGUCCUAAGGUAGCGAAAUUCCUUGUCGGGUAAGUUCCGACCUGCACGAAUGGCGUAACGAUGGCCACACUGUCUCCUCCAGAGACUCAGCGAAGUUGAAAUGUUGUGAUGAUGCAAUCU